UUAAAUACACCGUACAUUCCAAGGACGAGUAUUAUUGUAGUGGAAUAGCGACAUCCUAGGCAUAUUCUUCUCUACAACUCUGUUCGAGAACAACAGAUCUUUGAUAAUAAGUUACCUUUACAAGAGAAAUUUUGUUUUCUAAGUUAUUGUAAUUGUACAUCUCAGACGGAUCUCACAUCU
rnacentral:snoRNA from 1 species